rnacentral:miRNA from 1 species
CUGCGUCAUUGCGAGCGUAGCGAAGCAGUCCAGGGCAUCCUGAUCCGGCACUGGAUUGCUUCGCUACGCUCGCAAUGACGAGC